AUCGAGAGAGGCACACAUGUUUAUGACGUUGCCCCAUCAACAAGAUAGAGAGAUCUUUUGAUGGUUUUGUUGAGAAGCUAUACUCGUCGGAAAAGACAAUAGGAGUAGUAGUUUUCUUUCAUUGUAAUUCUAGAAAAGAGUGGUGGAUACCAUAUAGCAAUUGUAGGUUGCGGCCUUUUCUAGUGAAUGGUUUCUGGACUUGGUCCCGGGGAUGUAGGUUAACCGAACCCCGUUAACAAAUCUCUUGUGUCUCAUUUACUUUAUGCACAUACGAACUCGUUACACUCUCUCAUCAUACAAACGUAUAGAUCUAGCACACAUAUAAUAAUUUCAAUUGGUAUCAGAGCGGGAAACCGACCUGAGAUUAUUGUCUCUAACAGGUUAGAUCCUGGAUGUGUGGCUAGAUGAGAAAGAAGAGUUGCUCUUGUUGUUUGAGAAGUAAAAUCGAAAUCGUUUUCCAGCGUGGUGAAUUUGAAGAAAGGAAAAUAAAGGGAGAAUGAUGAAGACGGUGGAAUUGACGUCAAACUCGUCAGAUUUUUUAGUGCAGUACACCGGAAGUUGCAGUACUGUUCAUAGGAAGCUUCACGAUUCUCUUGCCGUCGAGAUUAGAAGCCGUCGAGAGAGAGUGGUUCGUUGUGGUUUGGGCUCAGUUCAAGAUUGGUGGCCCAAUAUCUAAUUUAAUUAAACUAGGCCCCUAAAAAGAAGUUAAUUAAAUUUGGUGUAAUUUUGGAAGAAAAAGCAUCUUAGCACGUGUGGAAUAGAUGUUCUCUCCUCUUGGUUGCUUGGUUACGUGUGAAUCAGAUUGGGAAAAUAAGAAUGAUCAGUCAUCGAGUGUCUUCUUCUCCGUCUCUUCAUGAAAACUGAAAAGAACCAAGGUAACUGACAGCACAAACCAUGUCGGAAAUGGUUUUUCAAUUCCUUGUAUUUCAUGGCUGUCAGGUUCUAUUGGAAUGAAAAGAGAGUUUGUUUUCUCCUUUAGUCUUGUGAAAUUGAAGAUCUAAGUGAAAGAGGACAAAGUUGGAAAGAAAAAAAAAGUAUGAAUGGCACUGGAAUUUUCAGAGCCCUAAGGUGAAAUUUGAAGCAAAGUCGAUUCAUGUCAUCUAGAGAAAUGAUGAAGAACCAAGAUCUUGAUCUAUAAGAAAAGAGGUAUACAGUAAAGCUCAGAGGAGAAGCGUUGGAAUUAAUUGUUCCUAGAUCAGCUUGUGUUCUUAAGCUCUGAGGAAUUAAAGUUUCAAAGCAAAGAGGAUCAAAAGGUUGUCAGCUCCAUUGGUUCAUAGAGAGGAUUGUCCGCAAAGAAAUUGUCGCUUGUUGCUCAUAGUUGUUGAUCAAAAUCUGGAGUGCGUCUUGAUUCUGCGCCUCUGAGGGUCAAGAGAAGGAUACGGGCAUGGUAGACAUGAUGGAUAAGAUCCGCGAGAUAAAGAUGAUGUUAGUAGUUCAUGCCUCUAUCAUGUUCUGCUUUGAACAAAUGAAGUCUAUUAAAGCUACAAAGUGAAGUGGUGGGGUACGAUGUCAACGGUCAACAUCCGGACAUUGUCAACAUCAUGUGUUUUAGUGAUGAUGGUCUCAUUCUAAAGAUGCUGGGUAAGAAUCUUCUCUGUGAGUAAAACGAGGUCAUCUCAGAAUUUAAUCAAGCUUCAAGAUCUUGAAAGAAGAAGAAGAGGAUUAAUAAAUUUUGAUCUUGAAGAAAAGUGUGUUUAGAGUCACGUACAGCUAUCGCUGGAAAGAGCAAGCUUCUGGCAUUGCAAGAAAUUGGCUAUGCAAUUGAGGAGAUUCAAAACCGGUGAACAUGAAGAUCGUUUCUCAACUCACACUUAGAAUAUCGUGGUCGAGAAAAGCAAAGUUUCUAAAACCAUGGAGGAGAAAACAAGAUCCAGAGUUAAGAUUAGCGGGGAUGGAGCUCUCCUAUGAUGGGAUUUCUAGUUCCUGGAAAUUGUCUCAAGUCUUGGUGGUCAUUGCUGGCAUUAAUUUGGGCAUUUGAAAAGCAAAAUCAAAAUCUCUUGAUUUGGAGCUCUUGAUUGAGAUGUCGGCGCAUAUGAGACAUGGAACUCUAAAGAUUCAAGAAAUGAAGUGUCUUGCAUCCAUUAUGUUUAUCGUUGGAAGCUCAAGAGAUUGAUAUUACUUUUGGUGCUUCUAUGAUGAUUUUCAGAAAAGAGGUUGAAAAUUGAGGAUUUUCCUCUCAGUUGAGAUGGAUGUUUAAAGUCUCCCUCCCUGCAAGCCUUCUCUGUUGCAGUUUUUGUACUAACUAGAAGGUAAAUGUAUUGAGCGGUACUGGUGAUUCUCGGUUGCAGAAAAGAAAAUUAGCGUCGGGUGUAUACGCUUGUUGUCUCUGUUAUGCUUAAGUUUAUGGGUUGUGAUAAUGGAGCUUACCUAUUGUCGACAUGUUGGCUGGCUUUGGAUUUAAUGGUUCUUUGGAGCAGAAAUUGAGUUUGUCAGAUUUUGGAAGGUUAGAAGUUUGAUUCAUUUGAUAAGCUUUCUUGGUUUUGUGUUGUUGUAUGUGUCUUGUCUUGGCUUUUUGCCUUAUUGAGACACACAAUCAACAAGGGGGAGAAGAAAUGUUGAAACCAAAAGCUUAAGCUUCUGAGAAAAAAUUGAAGCGGAUCAGAGUCAAACAAGAAUGCUUGUCGUCUGGUAUGAAGAAAAAUAAAACUUGCAUUUUGUUUUUCCUCGUCGGAGGUUCGAUGAAGAAUGGGAUCACCAGAAAAGAAAUUGGUCCAUUGACAGAGACACAUGAGUUUGUUGUUGCCGUUGAACGUGACAGAGAUAGAUGGGUCUGGAUUAAGUGCUUCAAUGUAGAAGAGUUGCUUGAUAUUGUAGGAGAUUCAUGGAGAGAAUAUAAGCAAAGAUGAAUUUUUCAUAACUCUGCAAUUAAUCAGUGAUGGAGGCGAUGCUGGUUAUGACGUACAUGUUGGAGGAUGUGUUACUGUUGAUCGGGAUUGCAUCGGUGCUUGUCGCUAUUGGAUAAGAAAGAAGAAUUUUAUUAUGGAGAAGCUCAACGUGAACAGCAAUUUCAAGAGAAAAUUUUCAAAGGUUAAAGCGAAAGCUCAAGAAUUUUCAGAAAUUGAAACAACUUGCCUAUUUGCGUUUAUGGAAUCGAGAAGAAGUUUCAUGGAAAAUCUACUGGUAAUGAAAGGUCUCAUCAGAAUACUGUAGAAGACAGUAAUGAAACAAGAUAAUAUGAAAAGUCUACAAAGGUUGGUGAGCAAGGUCGAAAGAAUAUUCUCAUGGUUGAUUCUUGGUUCUUCGUUUUCUUUGGCUACAGACCUCGGAUUUUAUCUCUGAAAGACGUUCUGAAAACUUGAGAAUGAGAUCUUUUCAAAGAUAUAAAGAUCAUUUUCUGGUUCCUUGUGGUUUGAUGGGAAAUUGCUCUUACAGUUGGAUGCUCGUCGGUUUGUAUCGUUCCGAAUCUGUCUUGCAGAAUUGAUCAUAACUUUCAAACCGUAAACCCAAAUCGUGAUUCGUUUUCUCUCGUGGCUUUGUAUGACUGCUGUGGAUAUUUUCACCAAAUUUCAUAAUUUUCCGGGUUGAUUUGCUACUCCGUUUGUGUUCUGCAUCAAGACAGAUCAAGAAGCAUAUGUUCAUGAAGAUUUCGUCAAGAUGGGCAUUUUUUUUUCAUACGAUGUGGUAUACUCUGGCUUAUAUUGCUCCUGAGGCUCUAGGGAGGACAAUUUUACAUUUUCUAGGAACUGUUUGAUUCUGGUGAUCUCUAAAGUAUCAGAUUGUUUCAAGUUGAGGAAGGCAUGAGUUGAGAUCAUAACGUUUUUGAGACUUUAAGUCUCAGUUUCCGCUGCAAAUUACAAGACUAAGGUGUAGAUUGUGUGAAGAUUCCGUCUCAGUUGAAUGAACCUGAUACUUGUGGAUAUUAAGAUUGUUUCAGAGGUUGUAGCUUGUUUAACAUAAGCAUGGAAGAGUGAAAGCGAAGAAGAUCUACAUUGCAACAUCAAAGGAGGGAAGAGUAUCUUUUUUUACGGGAUUGAAAAAUUUCAGAAAUCAGUUACGAGAUGAGAUCUUCGAGACAACGUUUGGAGUCCUAAAAGUAAUCUGAUCGAGCUGAAACUUGGUAGUGAGCUUCUUGCUAUUACUGUCUUAAGUGUCAACGGUGAGAUUAAUUUUUUGACAGUUGGAUUGCGUUUUAUUCGAGCGUGUUCAAUCUGUUCCGGGCACAUGUCAGCUAAAGUUUCAGAUCUGACCAGUUAUAGUGGAGACAUCAAAUGGGCGACCAAUUAAACUCGAAAUGAAAUGAAAUUGUGCAGAGACAUUCUAGACUUACGGAGCUAGAUUCUGGUAGGAGGGCAUUGGAUUCGGAGUCCGAGAACAGAGUAGAAUGAUGGCGGUUCAGAGUAGUUGAUUUGGAGACCUCUAAAGCUGUGUCUUGCAAAUUUUUUUUUUCUUUCAAGUUGAAGAUUUUUGGAAUGAAGUUUAUGAAGUGUCAAGAAAGAGAAUCUUUCCAUUAUAAGUGACAGAUCACAAAAUAUAUGAAGCCUUCAUUUGGUUAAAAAGAAUCACGUGGCUGACGGAGUUGGGCUUUCAUCAUCAAAGUGAUAACAUGGCUUCAUUGUCUGAGUUUGAUGCUUCUGCAUACUCUGUGCUCUUUUGNNNNNNNNNNNNNNNNNNNNNNNNNNNNNNNNNNNNNNNNNNNNNNNNNNNNNNNNNNNNNNNNNNNNNNNNNNNNNNNNNNNNNNNNNNNNNNNNNNNNAUCAGUUAAAGCUGUUAAAAGAGAAGCCUCAUGAACGUCACUAGAUCAGUUGGGUGAGCUAGCUGAAAGGUCUAAGAUUGUCUUAAACGCUUUGUUUAAAACAGGAAGCUUGGAUUUGUGUCGAAAGCAUGUGUAGCAGGUUUGGUACCUUGAUGGAGUGUCGUUUGGUUCAAGUUUACUGCAAGUAAUUCAAGAAGCGGUCUGUAGAUUUGUGACUUCCUUGUGCUAUAACAUAGUUAUUCAUAGUGAGACAAAAAUUGUCUGCAUGUGUGACAAGCCUUUUGACCAAGGAGAAUGAUUCAAAGAGAGUAAUAACCCUCAAUUUUAGAUGGGUUAUAUUGCGGAUGGUCUCAUUUGUACAAGAGAAGUUAUUGUAGAUAACAAUUAUAUGGUUGAAUGAGCUAACUAAGAAGCUUUGUGAAGUUGUGAAUGUGACAACAAGCUGCAUUUGGAGACAACGACUAGGUGUGUUCAAGUUUGUCUAAAUUUGUGACAUGAUCAGAUCUCUUGGAUUAAUUCUGAAGAAGAAGGCUUGCAAUGUCAGUUUCGGUGGAGCAGAUUAGAAGUCAUGUCGAUGCUUUUGAGCGAACAAAUUUCUGUUGUGAGUUUUGGUGAAGGAUAUGAUUCUAUGGUCAGGAUUGGAAUAAGGAUUUCGUGAGAAUAAUGUUCAAGCCAAAUAAGAUUAUCUGCAGUAUGUAUCUGCAAAGAAAGAACCUAUUCCAGAGAAGAAAGGAAGAACAUAUUCACAGAGUUUUAUCAACUCAAUCAGGGGGAGAUUUUUAUGUAUGCUGGUUAUGUAUGAUUGAGCUGUCAAACUCAGGGGGAGAAUGUGAUGCAAUGGUGUAGGGGGAGUGUCAUCCGCCAUGUAGCUGCUUAUAUGAACGAUUUCCUUAAUGGAGCUUGGUUUGUUAAUUUUAGACCAAUGCAUGUUUGGUUUGAGAAUGGAUAUCCUCGUGGGAUUUUUAUGUUGGCCCAUCUGUUGACGAAGACGUAACGACUUAAUGGGUGUUGACUUUGGUUGUCAAUUAAGAAGAGGAGAAAUUUGCAGUUGAAGAGAAAGCUCAUACUGCUGAUAAGACUAAGCAUUAUGGAUGGAACAAAAAAAAAGUUAGAGAGCAAAGGUUGGUUUCUCUACAUCAGACGUGGAUAAUCUUGAUUUGGAGGUUAUUGUGCAAUAAGAAGUUUUGGGAGAAAGAAAUCCAUAAAUAAGAAGUUCUGCACUGAAAUGUUUUAACAGAAUUUUAUCACUCAAGCAGGGGGAGAUUGAGAAAGUUCCGUGAACAGAUACGAUGAUAUAUGAUUAAGGGAGAGGUUUUAUAUCAUUAUUAUUGAAGGUUAUGCGUUCUUAACAUGGAGAGCUUGAGCUGUAAAACUCAGUCAAAAAGGGAGAGAUUGAAAGUGCAGAUAUUGUUGGAACACUAUUGAAGCUGUUGGAACAAGAUCGAGAUUGAGUCUUUCUAGCGUGAAAGCAAAGAAGGCCACGUGGGUCGUGGGCCAUUGUUCAAGUUAAGCCCAAUUGCUUGUAGAGACUUGAAGUGUGGCUUAAGUCUUCUAGGGUUAUUGGCACUUGAUAUAAAUACCAAGAGACGGCAACAUGAAGACUUGCGCGUCUAGGGUUUAUCGAGAGAGGCACACAUGUUUAUGACGUUGCCCCAUCAACAAGAUAGAGAGAUCUUUUGAUGGUUUUGUUGAGAAGCUAUACUCGUCGGAAAAGACAAUAGGAGUAGUAGUUUUCUUUCAUUGUAAUUCUAGAAAAGAGUGGUGGAUACCAUAUAGCAAUUGUAGGUUGCGGCCUUUUCUAGUGAAUGGUUUCUGGACUUGGUCCCGGGGAUGUAGGUUAACCGAACCCCGUUAACAAAUCUCUUGUGUCUCAUUUACUUUAUGCACAUACGAACUCGUUACACUCUCUCAUCAUACAAACGUAUAGAUCUAGCACACAUA
rnacentral:lncRNA from 1 species